rnacentral:rRNA from 1 species
CCCUUAGAUGUUCUGGGCCGCACACGCGCUACAAUGGAUGAAUCAACGCGUCAUCCUGGCCCGAAAGGGUUGGGGAACCGCUGAACCUCAUCCGUGGUUGGGAUUGGGGUUUGUAAUUAUUCCCCAUGAACUAGGAAUUCCCAGUAAGCGCGAGUCAUAAGCUCGCGUUGAUUACGUCCCUGCCCUUUGUACACACCGCCCGUCGCUACUACCGAUUGGAUGGUUUAGUGAGAUCCUCGGAUUGGUCACGGCACGGUGGCAACACUGCGUCGGUGUGCCGAGAAGACGAUCAAACUUGAUCAUCUAGAGGAAGUAAAAGUCGUAACA